rnacentral:tmRNA from 1 species
GGGGGCGUAAAGGUUUCGACGGGGAUGGCGCGUCACGGUAAGCGAGUAGCGGUGCGGGCCCGCUUAAAAACCUGCAACUUUAAACAAUAAACGACAACAAUUCUGUUGCUCUCGCGGCCUAAUUAGGCUGCCGUCUCUCCCGACAGUACCGCGGGUCGGAUAGAGGCGUCGAUUAGCGGUGAACGUGAACGGGAAGAUGCCGCUCUCCCCGUCAUGACUUGGCGGCUACCGUAGUCGAAAGCCUGUUCGUCGGCGUUCGGCGAGGGGAAUCCAAAAGACGAAAUGCACUCGGAGAAAGCUGUGGCAAACUGUUUUCGGACACGGGUUCGACUCCCGUCGCCUCCACCA